GACGAACGCUGGCGGCGUGCUUAACACAUGCAAGUCGAACGGUAAGGCCCUGCCUUUGUGGGGUGCUCGAGUGGCGAACGGGUGAGUAACACGUGAGUAACCUGCCCUUGACUUUGGGAUAACUUCAGGAAACUGGGGCUAAUACCGGAUAGGAGCUCCUGCUGCAUGGUGGGGGUUGGAAAGUUUUGGCGGUUGGGGAUGGACUCGCGGCUUAUCAGCUUGUUGGUGGGGUAGUGGCUUACCAAGGCUUUGACGGGUAGCCGGCCUGAGAGGGUGACCGGCCAGAGUGGGACUGAGAUACGGCCCAGACUCCUGCGGGAGGCAGCAGUGAGGAAUAUUGCACAAUGGGAGGAAGCCUGAUGCAGCAACGCCGCGGGCGGGAUGACGGCCGGCGGGUUGUAACCCGCUUUCGCCUAUGACGGAGUGUGAGUGACGGUAAUGGGUGAAGAAGCACUGGCUAACUACGUG
rnacentral:rRNA from 1 species